GGGGUUGUAGGACCGCGACAUUGUACUGAAAUGGUGAGUGGAAGUAUCUGGAAAGUUACAUCACAGAAGGUGAUAAUCCUGUACACGAAGCCAGAUCAGGCAUAGCGGUAUCCUGAGUAACGCGGGACACGAGGAAUCCUGCGCGAAUCUGCCGGGACCAUCCGGUAAGGCUAAAUACUCCCGUGAGACCGAUAGCGAACGAGUACUGUGAAGGAAAGGUGAAAAGAACCCCGAGCAGGGGAGUGAAAUAGUUCCUGAAACCAUACGCCUACAAGCGGUCGGAGCACAGCAAUGUGUGACGGCGUGCCUUUUGCAUAAUGAUCCUACGAGUUACCGUCACUGGCGAGGUUGAGUGUCACGAGACACGUAGCCGCAGUGAAAGCGAGCCUGAACAGGGCGCACAGUCAGUGGGGGUAGACGCGAAACCAAGUGAUCUACACUUGGCCAGGAUGAAGUCCCGGUAACACGGGAUGGAGGUCCGCACCAAUAAGCGUUGAAAAGCUUCUGGAUGAGCCGAGUGUAGGAGUGAAAGGCCAAUCAAACUUGGAGAUAGCUCGUACUCCCCGAAAGGCAUUUAGGUGCCGCGUCGGAUGGUCACCGUGAGAGGUAGAGCGACCGAUAGGACAAGAGGGCUUCACCGCCUAUCGAGUCCUGACGAACUCCGAAUGCUCACGGUCUGCAGUCCGGCAGUAAGGGGGCGGGUGCUAAGGUCCGUCCCCGAGAGGAGAAGAAUCCAGACCGCCGUCUAAGGUCCCGGAGUUCUGCCUGAGUUAGUCUAACGAAGUCUGGUCCCUAUGACAGCUAGGAUGUUGGCUUGGAAGCAGCCAUUCAUUCAAAGAGUGCGUAACAGCUCACUAGUCGAGGGUCCGGGCAUGGAUAAUAAUCGGGUAUAAGGCAGACACCGAAGGCGCGGGAUAGCAAUUUUAAAAGUAUCGGUAGGGGAGCAUACUCACAGCGUCGAAUGGUGUACGUAAGUUAUCCUGGAGCGGUGAGUAAAGCAAAUGUAGGAAUAAGUAACGAUAAGGAGGGUUAGAUUCCCUCCCGCUGUAAGACCAAGGUUUCCCGGGCAAUGCCAAUCAGCCCGGGGUCAGUCGGGUCCUAAGUCUAAGCCGAACGGCGAUGGCGAUGGCAGAGACGGUUAAUAUUCCGUCACUGCCGCAUGGGGCGACGUGGAGACGGAGCAGUGAAACCACCGCGGGGCGACGGAAGUCCCCGUUGAAGGGUGUAGGCGUUGAGGAUGGCAGGCAAAUCCACCAUCCGAGCUGAACCUGACAGUACGGAGUCCUCCUCGGAGGAAUCUGAUAGUGUGGGUAAUCAUACUCCCGAGAAAAUCCGCUAAGCUUAACCCAUGCGGCACCCGUACCGCAAACGGACACACGUGGUCGGGUAGAACAUACUAAGGCGUUGAGAGAUUCAUGGUUAAGGAACUAGGCAAAUUGACCCUGUAACUUCGGGAUAAAGGGUCCUCGUGAUGAGCGAGGCGCAGAGAAUAGGUCCAGGCAACUGUUUAACAAAAACACAGGGCUGUGCAAACUCGAAAGAUGACGUAUACAGCCUGACACCUGCCCGGUGCCGGAAGGUUAAGAGGAGAUGUCACUCGCAAUAGGAAGCAUUGAAUUGAAGCCCCGGUAAACGGCGGCCGUAACUAUAACGGUCCUAAGGUAGCGAAAUUCCUUGUCGGGUAAGUUCCGACCUGCACGAAUGGUGUAAUGAUCCGGACGCUGUCUCAACCAUGAGCUCAGUGAAAUUGUAGUAUCGGUGAAGAUGCCGAUUACCCGCGAUGGGACGAAAAGACCCCGUGAACCUUUACUACAGCUUAGCAUUGACCUUGGUCAUCCGAUGUGUAGGAUAGGCCGGAGGCUUUGAAGCGGGAGCGCCAGCUUUCGUGGAGCCAUCCUUGAAAUACGGCCCUUUGGCUGUCUGAGGUCUAACGCGUGAUUACGCGGACACUGCUUGGUGGGUAGUUUGACUGGGGUGGUCGCCUCCAAAAGCGUAACGGAGGCUUCCAAAGGUGCCCUCGGGUCGAUUGGUAACCGACCUCAAAGAGUGCAAUGGCAUAAGGGCGCUUGACUGGGAGGCAGACAUGCCGAGCAGGCAGGAAACUGGGGCAUAGUGAUCCGGCGGAUGUGUAUGGAAACUCCGUCGCUCAAAGGAUAAAAGGUACUCCGGGGAUAACAGGCUGAUCCCCCCCAAGAGCUCAUAUCGACGGGGUGGUUUGGCACCUCGAUGUCGGCUCGUCACAUCCUGGGGCUGGAGAAGGUCCCA
rnacentral:rRNA from 1 species